GACAGAGGGUGCAAACGUUGUUCGGAAUUACUGGGCGUAAAGCGAGUGUAGGCGGUCUUAUAAGUCGGGUGUGAAAGCCCCGGGCUCAACCCGGGAAGUGCACUCGAAACUGCGAGGCUAGAGUAUCGGAGAGGUUGGUGGAAUUCUCGGUGUAGAGGUGAAAUUCGUAGAUAUCGAGAGGAACACCGGUGGCGAAGGCGGCCAACUGGACGAAUACUGACGCUGAGACUCGAAAGCGUGGGGAGCAAACAGG
rnacentral:rRNA from 1 species